rnacentral:rRNA from 1 species
CAACCUACGGGAGGCAGCAGUGGGGAAUAUUGCACAAUGGGGGAAACCCUGAUGCAGCGACGCCGCGUGAGUGAAGAAGUAUUUCGGUAUGUAAAGCUCUAUCAGCAGGGAAGAUAAUGACGGUACCUGACUAAGAAGCCCCGGCUAACUACGUGCCAGCAGCCGCGGUAAUACGUAGGGGGCAAGCGUUAUCCGGAUUUACUGGGUGUAAAGGGUGCGUAGGUGGCAGGGCAAGUCAGAUGUGAAAACCCGGGGCCCAACCCCGGGCCUGCAUUGGAAACUGGCGGGCUGGAGUGUCGGAGGGG